GAGAUAGGGUGUCGCCCCACGGCGCGCCCGACCUCCAACCCUUUGCUUACCCGACCUCUUGUUGCUUCGGCAGGCCCGCCCCCCGCCCCUUCACCGGGGAGGGGGGGCCGCCGGGGGUGCCUCACCGCCCCCUGGCCCGCCGCCUGCCGACGGCCCAAUUAUCAAAAACUCUUGUUAAAAACGUGUCGUCUGAGUUUGUUAUAAACCAAUAACUAAAAACUUUCAACAACGGAUCUCUUGGUUCU
rnacentral:misc_RNA from 1 species